AAGCAUCAACUAUCUCCUUGUUUGUUACCUCUUUGCUCAGUUCUACCCUUUGAGCAUAAGUGAUGGCUUGUCUUUUCUCAUUGUUAUCAAGCUCAUUGUUGGAAGAUUGUGAUUUACAGAUCCCAUCAAAGAUUUACAAAAACCUAUCACUUCUUCAUGUAUAGCAUCAAAAAUAGACAUUUAAUCUCCAUUUAGGGAAGGUACUCUAGGAUUUGCUUUCUGCAUAUUCUCUCAUUUAGCAUAGCUGAGAAGUAUUUACUAUUAGAAUCCCCCAAUUUGACCAUUGAGCUCUAGAUCUUUGCCUGAGAAUAUUUUCUUCAAUUGGUGACCAUUUCUCUAAAUCCUGGAUACAUUGUUUCUCCUUCAACUGUAAAACUUUUGUACAAUAUCUUUGAAUUUCCUCCAGUGUGAGCAUCAGUUCAGUUCUAAUUUGGGCAAUCUUCUGUGUGAUAUUCUUGAACUCAACUAUAUUAAGAUUCUUUAGUGUCGGUCAACAAAACAUUUCAAUUCAAUUGUGGAGAAAGGUGCUCCAAAUACUCUGUUCGAAGGAUAAAGUGCUCCAUUAAAGUCCCC
rnacentral:lncRNA from 1 species